AUUGAACGCUGGCGGUAUGCUUAAGACAUGCAAGUCGUACGGGGGCCUUCGGGCUCCAGUGGCGGACGGGUGAGUAACACGUGGGAAUCUGCCUGUUAGUGGGGGACAGCCCAGCGAAAGCUGGAUUAAUACCGCAUACGCCCUACGGGGAAGGCAGCAAUGCGCUAACAGAUGAGCCCGCGUAAGAUUAGCUUGUUGGUGGGGUAAAGGCCCACCAAGGCGACGAUCUUUAGCUGGUCUGAGAGGAUGGCCAGCCACAUCGGGACUGAGACACGGCCCGGACUCCUACGGGAGGCAGCAGUCGGGAAUAUUGGACAAUGGGCCGCAAGCCUGAUCCAGCAAUACCGCGUGUGUG
rnacentral:rRNA from 1 species